GAUGAAUGCUGGCGGCGUGCCUAACACAUGCAAGUCGAGCGGCAGCGCGAGUAGUUUACUACUUGGCGGCGAGCGGCGGACGGCUGAGUAACGCGUGGGAACGUGCCCCAAAGUGAGGAAUAACUGCCCGAAAGGGUGGCUAAUGCCGCAUAUGAUCUUCGGAUUAAAGUCUUCGGACGCUUUGGGAGCGGCCCGCGUCGGAUUAGGUUGUUGGUGAGGUAAUGGCUCACCAAGCCGACGAUCCGUAGCUGGUCUGAGAGGAUGAUCAGCCAGACUGGGACUGGGACACGGCCCAAACUCCUACGGGAGGCAGCAGUGAGGAAUCUUCCACAAUGGGCGAAAGCCUGAUGGAGCAACGCCGCGUGCAGGAUGAAGGCCUUCGGGUCGUAAACUGCUUUUAUAAGUGAAGAAUAUGACGGUAACUUAUGAAUAAGCACCGGCUAACUACGUGCCAGCAGCCGCCGUAA
rnacentral:rRNA from 1 species